UACAGAGGGUGCAAGCGUUAAUCGGAAUUACUGGGCGUAAAGCGUGCGUAGACGGUUAUGUAAGUCAGGUGUGAAAGCCCCGGGCUCAACCUGGGAAUUGCAUUUGAGACUGCAUAGCUAGGGUGCGGAAGAGGGAAGCGGAAUUUCCGGUGUAGCGGUGAAAUGCGUAGAUAUCGGAAGGAACAUCGGUGGCGAAGGCGGUUCUCUGGGCCUGUACUGACGCUGAGGAGCGAAAGCGUGGGGAGCGAACAGG
rnacentral:rRNA from 1 species